GNAGANGAUUUGAAGNANANCNUGUGNGUGAAGGGNGGCCCCCCGUGCAGAUCUGACACUCACAUACGAAAGCGUGGGGAGCAAACANGAUUAGAUNCCCUGGUAGUCCNCGCCGUAAACGAUGUCUACUUGGAGGUUGUGGCCUGAGCCGUGGCUUUCGGAGCUAACGCGUUAAGUAGACCGCCUGGGGAGUACGGUCGCAAGAUUAAAACUCAAAUGAAUUGACGGGGGCCCGCACAAGCGGUGGAGCAUGUGGUUUAAUUCGAUGCAACGCGAAGAACCUUACCUACUCUUGACAUCUACAGAAGCCAGCGGAGACGCAGGUGUGCCUUCGGGAACUGUAAGACAGGUGCUGCAUGGCUGUCGUCAGCUCGUGUUGUGAAAUGUUGGGUUAAGUCCCGCAACGAGCGCAACCCUUAUCCUUGUUUGCCAGCACUUCGGGUGGGAACUCCAGGGAGACUGCCGGUGAUAAACCGGAGGAAGGUGGGGACGACGUCAAGUCAUCAUGGCCCUUACGAGUAGGGCUACACACGUGCUACAAUGGCGCAUACAGAGGGCGGCCAACUUGCGAAAGUGAGCGAAUCCCAAAAAGUGCGUCGUAGUCCGGAUUGGAGUCUGCAACUCGACUCCAUGAAGUCGGAAUCGCUAGUAAUCGUGGAUCAGAAUGCCACGGUGAAUACGUUCCCGGGCCUUGUACACACCGCCCGUCACACCAUGGGAGUGGGCUGCAAAAGAAGUGGGUAGUUUAACCUUCGGGAGGACGCUCACCACUUUGUGGUUCAUGACUGGGGUGAAGUCGUAACAAGGUAACCG
rnacentral:rRNA from 1 species